rnacentral:rRNA from 1 species
GACGAACGCUGGCGGCGUGCUUAACACAUGCAAGUCGAACGGAAAGGCACUGCUUUUGUGGGGUGCUCGAGUGGCGAACGGGUGAGUAACACGUGAGUAACCUGCUCUUGACUUUGGGAUAACUUCAGGAAACUGGGGCUAAUACCGGAUAGGAGCUCCUGCUGCAUGGUGGGGGUUGGAAAGUUUCGGCGGUUGGGGAUGGACUCGCGGCUUAUCAGCUUGUUGGUGGGGUAGUGGCUUACCAAGGCUUUGACGGGUAGCCGGCCUGAGAGGGUGACCGGCCACAUUGGGACUGAGAGACGGCGCAGACUCCUACGGGAGGCAGCAGUGGGGAAUAUUGCCCAGUGGGCGGAAGCCUGAUGCGGCAACGCCGCGUGCGGGAUGACGGCCUUCGGGUUGUGAACCGCUUUCGCCUGUGACGAAGCGUGAGUGACGGUAAUGGGUAAAGAAGCACCGGCUAACUACGUG